rnacentral:rRNA from 1 species
AGCAGCCGCGGUAAUUCCAGCUCCAAUAGCGUAUAUUAAAGUUGUUGCAGUUAAAAAGCUCGUAGUUGAAUUUCGGGGUUAGUAGGCUGGUCGUGCCACUGGUACGUACUGGUCUCACUGAUUCCUCCUUCCUGAUGAACUGUAAUGCCAUUAAUUUGGUGUUGCAGGGAAACUGGACUGUUACUUUGAAAAAAUUUAGAGUGCUUAAAGCAAGCUAACGCUUGAAUACAUUAGCAUGGAAUAAUGAAAUAGGACGUUCGAUCCUAUUUUGUUGGUUUCUAGGAUUGACGUAAUGAUUAAUAGGGAUAGUUGGGGGCAUUAGUAUUCAAUUGUCAGAGGUGAAAUUCUUGGAUUUAUUGAAGACUAACUACUGCGAAAGCAUUUGCCAAGGAUGUUUUCAUUAAUCAAGAACGAAAGUUAGGGGAUCGAAGACGAUCAGAUACCGUCGUAGUCUUAACCAUAAACUAUGCCGACUAGGAAUCAGACGAUGUUAAUUUUUUUCAAUGACUCGUUUGGCACC